UACGUAGGGUGCAAGCGUUGUCCGGAAUUAUUGGGCGUAAAGAGCUCGUAGGCGGUUCGUCGCGUCGGCUGUGAAAUCCCGAGGCUCAACCCCGGGUCUGCAGUCGAUACGGGCGGACUGGAGUUCGGCAGGGGAGACUGGAAUUCCUGGUGUAGCGGUGAAAUGCGCAGAUAUCAGGAGGAACACCGGUGGCGAAGGCGGGUCUCUGGGCCGAUACUGACGCUGAGGAGCGAAAGCGUGAGGAGCGAACAGG
rnacentral:rRNA from 1 species